GUUUAAAUGUGUGGCACUUCCCGCCCCCGUCACCCCUGCCGCCAUGCUUCCCCUUCAUCUUCCGCCAUGACUGUAAGUUUCCUGAGGCCUCCCCAGCCGGGUGUAAUGGGAUGUUGCAGAAGAGACCCACCUGGAGAAGGUCGUGUGAAGAUGGAGGCAGGGAUGGGAGCAGUGCAUGAGCAAGCCCAGGACACCAAGCAGGCCUGGCAGAGCAAGACAUGCGUCAACCCUCAGGGCUGCAGAGGGAGCAUGGCCCUGCACACUCCUUGAUUUUGCACUUCUGGCCUCCAGGGCUAUGAGGAAACACGUUUCUGUUGUUUUUAAAACAGUUGUUGUUUUUAAAACCAGUUUGUGAUGCAUUGUGACAGAAGCCCCAGGAAACUCAUCCAUACUGAGUGAAAUUUGUUUAUUGUCUAAAAUACAGUCCCUCCAUCAUCUAUCCCUCCUAUCAUUUCUGGAAUUUAUAGACAUCCAAGUCACUCCCCAUAUCCACAGAAGGCUCAGGCACCUGGUUCAGAAUCCUCAUUGUCCUGCCAGCUCCCACCAGCAGUCUGCAGCCUCGGCCCCAGCCAGUGUCACUUCAUCCCAUUCCCUGGACAUCUGGUUCCAGGACCACAGCUCCAUCCUUGGCGUGGUCCAGAACUUGCUCCUACCUCUCUCCCCCAUUCUCCCUCUUUCUCCCCCCCAUUCUCUCUCCCUCUCUUUCUCAUUCUCCCUUCUCCUCCCUCUUUCUCCCUCCCUCUCUCUGGAAUCUCUGGUUCCAGUUGCCCAUCACUGACUACAGCUUGC
rnacentral:lncRNA from 10 species